rnacentral:rRNA from 1 species
CCUACGGGGGGCAGCAGUGAGGAAUAUUGGUCAAUGGACGCAAGUCUGAACCAGCCAUGCCGCGUGCAGGAAGACGGCUCUAUGAGUUGUAAACUUCUUUUGUACGAGGGUAAACGCAGAUACGCGUAUCUGUCUGAAAGUAUCGUACGAAUAAGGAUCGGCUAACUCCGUGCCAGCAGCCGCGGUAAUACGGGGGAUGCAAGCGUUAUCCGGAUUUAUUGGGUUUCAAGGGUGCGUAGGCUGGGAGGUAAGUCAGCGGUGAAAUGCCCCCGCUCAACGGGGUGAAGUGCCAUUGAGACUGGCUUGCUGGAAUGCGAAUGCCGUGGGAGGAAUGUGUGGUGUAGCGGUGAAAUGCAUAGUUAUCACGCAGAACACCGAUUGCGAAGGCAGCACACGAAUCCGCGAUUGACGCUGAUGCACGAAAGCGUGGGUAUCGAACAGGAUUAGAUACCCCGGUAGUC